GGGCCUCUAGCUCAAUUGGCGAGAGCGUACAUUUGACUUGUGUAAGGUUCCCAGUUCAAUUCUGGGGAGGCCCA
rnacentral:tRNA from 1 species